UACGUAGGGGGCAAGCGUUGUCCGGAUUUACUGGGCGUAAAGAGCGCGCAGGCGGUCGAUCAAGUCGAGUGUGAAAGCCCCCGGCUCAACUGGGGAGGGUCAUUCGAUACUGAUCGACUCGAAGGCAGGAGAGGGUAGUGGAAUUCCCGGUGUAGUGGUGAAAUGCGUAGAUAUCGGGAGGAACACCAGUGGCGAAGGCGAACUGACCCAUGGCCGCUGUUACGUUGGA
rnacentral:rRNA from 1 species